rnacentral:rRNA from 1 species
GACGGAACGCUGGCGGCGUGCCUAAGUACAUGCAAGUCGAGCGAGCGGAACCAACAGAUUUACGUUCGGUAAUGACGUUGGGAAAGCGAGCGGCGGAUGGGUGAGUAACACGUGGGGAACCUGCCCCUAAGUCUGGGAUACCAUUUAAGGAAACAGGUGCUAAUACCGGAUAAUAAAGCAGAUCGCAUGAUCAGCUUUUGAAAGGCGGCGUAAGCUGUCGCUAAGGGAUGGCCCCGCGGUGCAUUAGCUAGUUGGUAAGGUAACGGCUUACCAAGGCGACGAUGCAUAGCCGAGUUGAGAGACUGAUCGGCCACAUUGGGACUGGAGACACGGCCCAA